AGAAAUAGUGAAAUAAUACAUCCAGUGAUACCUGUCAAUGGUCUUUUCCUGUCUUUGGUGAGAAACAAACACAUCAUGUCUACAGGACAUCAACCAAAGAAUAGUUUGAAGCCUAUUUCCAGGAAGAGAAACACUGGAGGUGAGCUACAGCAAUAAAGUGCCCGUGCUGAGGAACGGCAAAAUGAACUGAACAUAUAAAACAAGUUGUAAGGACAGGCCAAACGUCAGGUCUGUAUCUGAGAAUAGAGUUAAUAAUGGAAUGAGGACUCAGGACCCUUUGAG